rnacentral:rRNA from 1 species
CACGUAGGGGGCGAGCGUUGUCCGGAUUUAUUGGGCGUAAAGAGCUCGUAGGCGGUUUGUUGCGUCGGCCGUGAAAACUCAGGGCUUAACUCUGAGCCUGCGGUCGAUACGGGCAGACUUGAGUUCGGUAGGGGAGACUGGAAUUCCUGGUGUAGCGGUGAAAUGCGCAGAUAUCAGGAGGAACACCGGUGGCGAAGGCGGGUCUCUGGGCCGAUACUGACGCUGAGGAGCGAAAGCGUGGGGAGCGAACAGG